UCCAUGUUCUAAAAUGGAUGACUGUGACAUCUUAUCUACUCCAUCUAUUAUAAGGACAUAAGCAAAGUGGUAACCACCAUUGAAUAUUAAAAACAGCAAAAUUGAAGUAGCAGCAAAAAUACUAACUAUUGUUUCUCAGGGUUGUCAGGUUCUUCUUCCUUUUCAGGAUCUUCCUCCUCUUCCUCUUUCUUUUCUUCCUCUUCUUCAUCUUCUUCAGGGGGAUCAUACGGCAUUGGUGGUGGUAAUGGUGUUUUCAUAGGGCUGAAUUGAGGGAAUAUGUCAGGUCUGCGUCCAGGUUUAGGCCUCUCCCACUCCUGCCAUGUGAACCAAGGUGCUCAUUUUUAAUCACACUGUCUUGAAGAAACAAAAUUCCAAACAAAAAAAACCAAGAUUGAAUUAUCUAAACAGUACCCAUCAACCAAACAAAACUACCCCAAUCGAAUAUUACUGCAUAAAAUUAAACCCAUCUCAUAAAAAUCCUGCUGAGGCUUAUUCUUCUUUCACAAAGCUAAAAACAAAUAUCAUAUCACUAAUUUGGAAUUUCCCUGUCCUGUUAACAAGGCAAUUAAAACUACUUAUAGCUGAAUAAACAGAGCAUGAACUUACAAUGGGAAAAUCGAGGGGAUUGCGACGAGUCAAUUUUUCUUCCUCGGGAGCCAUACAAACCACCUGCAGCCUCUUUCUCAUCGUCAGUUUAUGGGAUUUAGAAAAGGAGACAACGAGGGAGCAUCUGCAACGGCGUAUACUGGAAGUGGAUGAACCCGGCGCUAGGGUUUUGGAAGGCGGCAAUAACGAUAGGCAAAUGGAUGAUGCCAUGGUUGGUUUCUUGGUAGGAACAGUUUCCCCAGAAACAAACAAAAAUAAAAGAAGUACCAAGUUAACCGCCUUAUCUCCGAGUCGUGUUCGUCUCGGCUAGGACGGCCUGCACUCAGCCCCUAAAUACCCAAUGGCCACAAUUUUAACAUCUGUAGGCUCAGCAUCUCUAUCAACUUUUAUGGGUCUAUAUUAUCUAAUGGGUGGUCCAAUCCACUUGUUGAUUUAGUGCCAUUUUAGAUUCACCUUUCGUCCCAAAUGAAGCUUAAAUUGGACUCAGAGUUGACCCCAAAAAUUGGGCUCAGAAUGUUAGACUAGUUUUAACCAAAUUCAACUUUUAGUUUUUAGAGUGAUAGGUAUAUAUUAUUUAUUUAUUAGUUUUAAAUAUUAAUUAAAAGCAUAUGAUAGUUUCAUAACUUCCCAUACAGAAUUAAAAUAAUUCACUAAACUUCAUAAUAAGAGGAAAUGUAUGAAAAUGUCAACAUUGGCUAUUUUGAAUACAUCCACUUAUAGUUUUUUUUCUUUCAUAUUCAUUUUACUAUAUCUUAUAAUUAUUUUUUCCGAUUAUAUCGUCUUCAAAGUUUGAACUUGUAUUUUUCAUUGAGUAUGUAAUAUGUUUUAUCAUUAUACCUAACACUUAUUAAUACCACAAAUCAUGUUAUCUACCAUUUGCAAUAGGACAUGUUAUGCCCAUUAAAUUCCUAUAUGCCAUAAGAAAAGGGUUUAAAUCCCACCGAGUACAAAUUUUGAAUUUGUAUCAAGUGAAUGCGGUCUCACUCCAUGAACCUAAUGAAGCUAUGUGUGAAGGUGAAAAAUAGGAUUUAAUAAUAAAACUGAGUAUAGACACUUCAAACCUAAUUUUAGACCCAUUGAAGAGAUUUAUCGUCUUUUGACAAAUAACAAUUCAAAGACUUCUCCUAAUAAGUCAAAACACCCUUAAAAAAGAGUUAAAUUGAUGUCUGGUGAAUUUAUAAUGAAACAAAAAUGAAUUAUUAAAAUAAAUUGCAGUUUAAUCCCUAAUACAUACUUCAACUUUUAAUUUUUCUUUUAAAUGAAAAGUAGUUUAGGCAAGUUAUGAAACUUUGGGUUAUUUAUAACAGAUCUUAUUUAUCAAAGACAUUGAGUGUCAUUUAUUUGUUAGGGUUUGAUUGGUAUAACUCUAAAAAUAAAAAUAUAUUUUAAUAAAAACAAAAUAUUUUUAUAAUAAAAUAAAAUCUAUUUAAUCUUUAGAAAAUUCAAUAACAUUCAUUUGUUUCAUUCAUCAUUAACAUGAGCUCGAAACCUUUUACAUAAUUAAACUCCAAAUAAUAUAUUCCAUUAAGAAAAAAAAAUUAACCAUACAAUUGAACUCCACAUAAAAACAUGGCUGUAAUGAAAUUUCUUUAAGGUUUGAAAAAAAAAAAAGAGAAUAAUUUUCUUUUAAAGGUAAACGCCACCAUAUUAUAAUUCAAUUAACCCGUUGGAUUAGGGUUGUGUAAGAUUAAAAAGAAAAAAGAAAUGAUCAAUAAUAGCAGCAAACUUUAGUCAUAGCCAUGAUGAUUUGGUAAUAACUAAUAUCCCUAAACAGGAAUGGAAAUAAUAUAUCUGUUUGAAUAAAAAGAAAAAAAAACAACUACUAAAUUUCUAACUUCUUUUUGCAAUGUCAGAUGCAUUAUUGGAAUGCCAGAGAAGAAAAAGAAACAAAACCAUUAAGCUUUGUUUUCUGCUGUAAACAGCUUUUUCAAGAACACCACAACACAGUCAACAAACAAAUGAAUCCAAGAGAACCUUUGUGCUAAAAAAAAAAACCAAUGAGAAAGUAGGAAUUUUAGUUACCAAUGGUUGUUAGAAUUUUGAAAACAUUUGAGAAAACGGUACAAAAAGCUUAAAAUAAAGGUUCCCUGGCUAGUUUUGAGCUUUGACAGAAACCCUAAUCACCAUGAAGGAGAAGUGCAUGGAGAACUUGAUGAAGAUGAUGAAAGACCAUUAUUACACUAUUAGAAUCACUGCCCGAAGUGACUAAAGACCUAGCAUCUCUAAGAGAAACAGGACAAGCCUGAGCUGGGAGAUUCUUCAUUGGACUCGAAGAUGUCAUCCAAGGCUCAGCCUUCUCAUCAUCCCCUGAAGAACCGUUGUUUCCUAGACCUCUCAAACGGAGUACCUGGCAUGCUGCAGCCAACAUCAUUGCUGUAAAUAGGAUUCGAUAUGUAAGCAAAAUUAUCCACACCAUGACCAGGAAUAGUACCGUUAGCUUUUCUUUACAAUUAGUAGUAGUUCCAGUGCCAAUUCGUGUUGAGAUUUCUUGAACAGGGUUAGGGGAAGUCGCCAAGGACGUUGAUGGAGAUACCAGAGAUAAGAUACCAAAUUGAUGAGGGGGCUUGUGUUUGGUUCUUGGGCAAAGAUUUCAAAAACUUGAGGAUGUAAAGGGAGAACAGCAGGGAAAAGGAAGUUCCUUGGUGCAUGAAUAACUCCUUGUGCAUAGAAGCUACUAAGGGGACUGGUUGAUUGAGUUUGGUUAUCAAGAGGAGGAAAGGAAGAAGCAGUAUUUGUAGGGGUGAGGGCACCAGUUGCAGUGUUGGUAAUGAUAGGGCUGGCAGCAGAGUGUAUACGCUGACACCGCCAGUGGAGUAAGACAAAAGCAAUAGAGCUUAGCUAGCAGUACUACGAUUAAAGCUAAUACAAUGGCCAGGCUAACCACCAUUAUCAGUGUCGCACCCAUUUUACUUUCUCUUAGCUCUUUUCCUUUAACUUCUUUGGAGAGGACCGACAGAGUGGGAAAGCUUCCUUUUUUGGCGGCAACAGUAGGUGGCGAAUCUCGUGAGAAUGCGUAAGCAACUCUUCGGUUCUUCAAUGGUUGGGUGCUUUCUGUGUUGUCUUUUCUCUCUGGAAUUCAAGUUCAUAGAGGUCAUUUAGUAACCGCAGCUAUAGCUUGAUACAUAGAGCAAGGUACAACCCACAAAAGUAUCAUGGCCAAUACGCCCAAUUCAGAAUUUUUCCUGCUCAGUUCUCAGUCAUUUGUUCUGAGUGACAACAUCUCAAUCUCAAUCUUAAAGCAUAACUGCAGAUUUGCAUGAGGACAUCCAUUUGACAUCAACUCUGGCAGGCAUGGAAUUCGCAGAAACAAAGUGAUUUUCUCGAGCUGAAGGAUGAAUCACUGGAAUCAAGCCCCCAAAAAGAGCUGUUGAGUAUUAUUAUUCCGGUUGUUUUGCUGGGCGUGCAAACGAGUGCAACUGACAGACCUACCAGAAGUUAUGUCUUCACUUACAACUGAUUUUACAUUUCUAUAAGAACCAAAAUUAAUCUGCAUGUGAUGCUAUUAAAAGUCAUCUAUAUCCAUAAUGGUGCAGUCAUGAAUUAUGCUUUUUUCCUCCCAAAUUUCAAGAUAAUUAUGUGCUUUGAUAUUCACACUGUACAGAAAAAUCAUAUCAUGUGGUAUUUCUUCAAUGUGCCUUUUGAGAGAUGAUGAAGUUGAAUGCUGCUAAGUUUAUCCUUGUUGUGUUUAUCAAUUCCAAAUAUAGAAAUGGCAUUUUAAUUGUAUAACUCUAUAUGAAGCCUCAGAAGUCUGAUCAAAUGCUUAAUGAAAAAACCAGUCUAGCGAUUUGCAUAACUGGAAUCCUAUGAUUCACAUUAUAGAUGCAUGAGAAGCAGUUUUAAAGUCAGAAUGCGAAUAAACACCAUUCCUUGUAUAUCUCAUUGAAUUUCAUCCAUGAACUCUUAACCCUUUCGUUGUAUUAUUGCACUUAAAUUUUCAAACUUGGAAUUUGACAACAUUGAAUUUCAUGUUAUCAAUAAAUUCUAGUCCCGCAAACAAAUGAACAAGAACAUAACAACUAAGAACAAGGUAUUCGAAAGCAACUAGUAUAAUCAUAUAAGAAAGACUUACGGAUUACAACACUCUAAAACAGGAACUUGGACCUAAGUUUCCCUAUAUUAACCUAACAAGGCAAUAAAAUCCCAAGAAGAUGCCUGCACAAUCCCCUCAACUCAAAUAUGGUUAUACCACUCAACUCCAUGUUCUAAAAUGGAUGACUGUGACAUCUUAUCUACUCCAUCUAUUAUAAGGACAUAAGCAAAGUGGUAACCACCAUUGAAUAUUAAAAACAGCAAAAUUGAAGUAGCAGCAAAAAUACUAACUAUUGUUUCUCAGGGUUGUCAGGUUCUUCCUUUUCAGGAUCUUCCUCCUCUUCCUCUUUCUUUUCUUCCUCUUCUUCAUCUUCUUCAGGGGGAUCAUAUGGCAUUGGUGGUGGUAAUGGUGUUUUCAUAGGGCUGAAUUGAGGGAAUAUGUCAGGUCUGCGUCCAGGUUUAGGCCUCUCCCACUCCUGCCAUGUGAACCAAGGUGCUCAUGUUUAAUCACACUGUCUUGAAGAAACAAAAUUCCAAACAAAAAAAAACCAAGAUUGAAUUAUCUAAACAGUACCCAUCAACCAAACAAAACUACCCCAACAGAAUACUACUGCAUAAAAUUAAACCCAUCUCGUAAAAAUC
rnacentral:lncRNA from 1 species